GGUCGAGCGGUGCUUGGAGUGUUCGUGUGGGAUAGGGGCUUGCGGUGAGUCCACGCGGGAGCUGCGCGUUUGACUGGGAUACUCCGGGAAACCGGGGCUAAGACGGGAUAAGAUUUUGAACUGCAGGUUUCGGAAUUGAAAGGCGGCUUCGGAUGUCAGUUAUGGAGGGGCCCGCGUCGCAUUAGCUAGUUGCUGAGGUAACGGCUCUCCAAGGCAACGAUGCGUAGCCAACCUGAGAGGGCGCUCGCCCAUAACUGUGACUGAGACAGGGCCCACUCUAAUAGGGAGGCAGGGGGAGAGGAAUCUUCCGCAAUGGACGGAAGUCUGAAGGCAGCAACGCCGCGUGAGGGAUGGAGGCGUGCGGGUCGUAAAACUCUGUUGUUAGGGAAAGAACGAGUGCUAGUUGAAUAAGCUGGCACCUUUGACGGUACCUAACCAGAAAGCCACGGCUAACUACGUGCCAGCAGCCGCGGUAAUACGUAGGUGGCAAGCGUUAUCCGGAAUUAUUGGGCGUAAAGCGCGCGCAGGUGUUUCUUUAAGUCUGAUGUGAAAGCCCACGGCUCAACCGUGGAGGGUCAUUGGAAACUGGAGACUUGAGUGCAGGAAGAGGAAAGUGGAAUUCCAUGUGUAGC
rnacentral:rRNA from 1 species